rnacentral:rRNA from 1 species
AGAGUUUGAUCAUGGCUCAGAACAAACGCUGGCGGCGUGCCUAACACAUGCAAGUCGAACGAGAAAUCCCGAGCUUGCUUGGGAGAGUAAAGUGGCGCACGGGUGAGUAACGCGUGGGUAACCUACCUUUGAAUCUGGAAUAACCAGCCGAAAGGCUGACUAAUACCGGAUAUGGUUUUUAGAGCUUAGGUUCUUUAAAUUAAAGGUGACCUCUUCAUGAAAGUUGCCGUUCAUAGAUGGGCCCGCGUACCAUUAGCUUGUUGGUGGGGUAAUGGCCUACCAAGGCGACGAUGGUUAGCUGGUCUGAGAGGAUGAUCAGCCACACUGGAACUGGAACACGGUCCAGACUCCUACGGGAGGCAGCAGUGAGGAAUUUUGCGCAAUGGGGGAAACCCUGACGCAGCAACGCCGCGUGAGCGAAGAAGGCCUUCGGGUCGUAAAGCUCUGUCAAGUGGGAAAAAAAUCUUUUGAUCAAUAGUCAAAAGACGGGGAUGGACCANG